AUUGAACGCUGGCGGCAUGCUUUACACAUGCAAGUCGAACGGCAGCGCGGGCUUCGGCCUGGCGGCGAGUGGCGAACGGGUGAGUAAUACAUCGGAACGUGCCCAGUAGUGGGGGAUAGCUCGGCGAAAGCCGGAUUAAUACCGCAUACGACCUGAGGGUGAAAGCAGGGGAUCUUCGGACCUCGCGCUAUUGGAGCGGCCGAUGGCAGAUUAGCUAGUUGGUGGGGUAAAGGCCUACCAAGGCGACGAUCUGUAGCUGGUCUGAGAGGACGACCAGCCACACUGGGACUGAGACACGGCCCAGACUCCUACGGGAGGCAGCAGUGGGGAAUUUUGGACAAUGGGCGAAAGCCUGAUCCAGCAAUGCCGCGUGUGUGAUGAAGGCCUUCGGGUUGUAAAGCACUUUUGGCGGGAACGAAAAGGACUGUGCCAAUACCACGGUUCGAUGACGGUACCCGCAGAAUAAGCACCGGCUAACUACGUG
rnacentral:rRNA from 1 species